rnacentral:snRNA from 1 species
AUGCUCAUUCAGCAGUACAUGAAUGAAAAUUGGAACAAUACAGAGAAGAUCAGCAUGCAGGGUUGACAUACACAUUUGUAAAGCAGGUUGUAUUUUA